GGCGUGAGCCGGAGCAAAUCUCAGAAAUAACGUCUCAGUUCGGAUUGUAGUCCGCAACUCGACUACAUGAAGCUGGAAUCGCUAGUAAUCGCGGAUCAGAAUGCCGCGGUGAAUACGUUCCCGGGUCUUGUACACACCGCCCGUUACACCAUGGGAGUCGGGAAUGCCCGAAGCCAGUGACCCAAGCGAAAGCAGGGAGCUGUCGAAGGCAGGCCGGAUAACUGGGGUGAAGUCGUAACAAGGUACC
rnacentral:rRNA from 1 species